rnacentral:rRNA from 1 species
CCUACGGGAGGCAGCAGUGAGGAAUAUUGGUCAAUGGGCGGGAGCCUGAACCAGCCAAGUCGCGUGAGGGAAGACGGUCCUAUGGAUUGUAAACCUCUUUAGGCGGGGAGCAAUGCCGGGCAAGCGUGCCAGGAGGGAGAGUACCGGCAGAAUAAGUAUCGGCUAACUCCGUGCCAGCAGCAGGGGUAAUAAGGAGGAUGCGGGCGUUAACCGGAUCUAUUGGGUUUAAAGGGUGCGUAGGCGGAUGUUUAAGUCAGGGGUAAAAUGUCCGGGCUCAACCCGGGCCGGCCGGUGAAACUGGGGAUCUUGAGUAGGCGAGGAGUAUGCGGAAUGCGUGGUGUAGCGGUGAAAUGCAUAG